UAAUACGGAGGAUGCAAGCGUUAUCCGGAAUCAUUGGGCGUAAAGAGUCCGUAGGUGGCCCAUCAAGUCUGCUUUCAAAGACCGAAGCUUAACUUCGGAAAGGGAGUAGAAACUGAAGAGCUAGAGUAUAGUAGGGGUAGAGGGAAUUCCUAGUGUAGCGGUGAAAUGCGUAGAGAUUAGGAAGAACACCAGUGGCGAAGGCGCUCUACUGGGCAUAUACUGACACUGAGGGACGAAAGCUAGGGUAGCGAAAGGGAUUAGAUACCCCUGUAGUCCUAGCGGUAAACGAUGGAUACUAGGCGUGGUGCCGUAAGAGGGACUGUGUCGAAGCUAACGCGUUAAGUAUCCCGCCUGGGGAGUACGCACGCAAGUGUGAAACUCAAAGGAAUUGACGGGGACCCGCACAAGCGGUGGAGUAUGUGGUUUAAUUCGAUGCAACGCGAAGAACCUUACCAAGGCUUGACAUCCUGCGAAUCUUGAUGAAAGUUGAGAGUGCCUUAGGG
rnacentral:rRNA from 1 species